rnacentral:misc_RNA from 1 species
GAAAUGCGAUAAGUAAUGUGAAUUGCAGAAUUCAGUGAAUCAUCGAAUCUUUGAACGCACAUUGCGCCCCCUGGUAUUCCGGGGGGCACGCCUGUUCGAGCGCCAUUUCACCUCUCAAGCCUCGCUUGGUGAUGGGCACCGCCUGUGGGCGGGCCCGAAACUCGUGGGCGCCGACGGCCGGCUCCGAGCGUAGCAAAACCCUCGCUCGGGACCCCGGCUGGUGGCCGCCCCAGACCCCAAAAUAUUUAACAAUGGUUGGCCUCGGAUCAGGCGGGGAUACCCGCUGAACUUAA